AAGGGGGAAGGCUCCUAUUCCUCCCGCCUUGCCAUAGGAAGCUUUUAGUUCCUAUUUUAGUUCAUUGAAUGCUAGCUUACUCCUUCACCUAUAAAAGAAGAGGCAAUCUUGUGUAAUUCUUUAGAACUUAGUUGAAUGUAAAGUUACUUUGCUAAAAUUGCAAGUGUUCUUUUCCUUAGUUCUCACCUUAUGAAAUGUCUUCUUCUAGACCUCUUAGUAUCUUCUCCUUCAUUGUUGACCUCCCCUCCUAGAAGGACAUUUACCAAGACAAUUCAAUAACAACAU
rnacentral:lncRNA from 1 species